rnacentral:rRNA from 1 species
UACGUAGGGUGCGAGCGUUAAUCGGAAUUACUGGGCGUAAAGCGUGCGCAGGCGGUUCGUUGUGUCGGCGGUGAAAGCCCCGGGCUUAACCUGGGAAUGGCAUGGGAAACUGGCGGGCUGGAGUGUGGCAGAGGGGGGUGGAAUUCCGCGUGUAGCAGUGAAAUGCGUAGAGAUGCGGAGGAACACCGAUGGCGAAGGCAGCCCCCUGGGCUAACACUGACGCUGAGGCACGAAAGCGUGGGGAGCAAACAGG